rnacentral:rRNA from 1 species
AUUGAACGCUGGCGGCAGGCCUAACACAUGCAAGUCGAACGAGUGGCGGACGGGUGAGUAAUGUCUGGGAAACUGCCUGAUGGAGGGGGAUAACUACUGGAAACGGUAGCUAAUACCGCAUACCAUCAGAUGUGCCCAGAUGGGAUUAGCUUGUUGGUGGGGUAACGGCUCACCAAGGCGACGAUCCCUAGCUGGUCUGAGAGGAUGACCAGCAACACCGGAGCUGAGACACGGUCCAGACGCCUAAGGGAGGCAGCAGUAGGGCAUAUUGCACAAUGGGCGGGAGCCGGAUGUAGCGAUGCCGCGUGGAUGAAGAAGGCUGCCGGUUUUUAAAGUACUUUAAGCGGGGAGGCGUUACCCGAAGAAGAAGCACCGGCUAACUCCGUGCCAGCAGCCGCGGUAAUAC